AACGAACGCUGGCGGCAGGCUUAACACAUGCAAGUCGAACGCCCCGCAAGGGGAGUGGCAGACGGGUGAGUAACGCGUGGGAACAUACCCUUUCCUGGGGAAUAGCUCCGGGAAACUGGAAUUAAUAACGCCUAAGGCCUACGGGGGAAAGAUUUAUCGGGGAAGGAUUGGCCCGCGUUGGAUUAGUUAGUUGGUGGGGUAAAGGCAUACCAAGGCGACGAUCCAUAGCUUGUCUGAGAUGAUGAUCAGCCACAUUGGGACUGCGACACGGCCCAAACUCCUACGGGAGGCAGCAGUGGGGAAUAUUGGACAAUGGGUGCAAGCCUGAUCCAGCCAUGCCGCGUGAGUGAUGAAGGCCUUAGGGUUGUUAAGCUCUUUCACCGGAGAAGAUAAUGACGUUAUCCGGAGAAGAAGCCCCGGCUAACUUCGUGCCAGCAGCCGCAGUAA
rnacentral:rRNA from 1 species